rnacentral:misc_RNA from 1 species
UCUCCGUUGGUGAACCAGCGGAGGGAUCAUUACUGGAAUCGCAAGAUCCCACAACCCUGUGAACCUACCGAAAUGUUGCCUCGGCGGGUGCCCGGCCUCUGCGCCGGGCGCUGCGCCCGCCGGCGGCCCCCUACUCUGUCUCUGCAGCGUGGCAUCUCAGAGUCCCAGAAAACAAGUCAAAACUUUCAACAACGGAUCUCUUGGCUCUA